GACGUAGGGCGCGAGCGUUGUCCGGAUUUAUUGGGCGUAAAGAGCUCGUAGGCGGCUUGUUGCGUCGACCGUGAAAACCCGUGGCUUAACUGCGGGCUUGCGGUCGAUACGGGCGGGCUGGAGUUCGGUAGGGGAGACUGGAAUUCCUGGUGUAGCGGUGAAAUGCGCAGAUAUCAGGAGGAACACCGGUGGCGAAGGCGGCCCCCUGGACCGGUACUGACGCUGAGACGCGAAAGCGUGGGGAGCGAACAGG
rnacentral:rRNA from 1 species